UCCCUGUCCGUUCGCCCCGCUCCGUUUCCCCCGUCGUUUUCGCGCGCAUCCUCCGCCGCCACUCGCAGUCCUGACGUCAGCGUGCCCCGGGUACGCAGACGCAGGUUGUUGGUGGUCGCCGGCCUCUGCGAGGGUGGAGAGCACGUGGCUGGUUUGCUGGCGGGCGGUUGUUGCCAUGGUGACGAACCGCUCGGAAGGUGCCCCACGAGAGUUUCUGAAGCGAGUUUGAGAGCGGUAGAAGAUUCGCCAGAAGUUAGUGAGGCGAUCUUUUCUUUAUGAAAGAGACUUGGUGGGGUAAAGACAGCGUGCAGACUGGAAGCGGUCUUUCGGUGUCUUGUCUGAGUGCGAGAUUGUGGAGAGGGUGACAGAACGAGCCCAAGGCCGCACUGACUGAUUACAGGCAAAUUAAUGUGGAGGCUGGAAAUCUGAAACAGAUACAGAAUGCUGGAGAAAGUCAGCAGAUAUCGGAUUAGAAGAACUGACAUGCAGAUUAUUUUCUAAAUGAGGACAGGCUUUGGAAAUCUUAAGCACAAAAGGACUUAGGAGUCCUAGUUCAGGAACCUUAAAAUUAACAUGCACAUUUGGUUGGCAAUUAAGAAGACAAUACAAUGUUAGUGUUAAUUUCAAGAGGGCUAGACUACUCAGGUAGUGUCUCCCACCCAUCCUCCUCCUCUAACCUAAAAAAAAGUUGUGGGAGCCAGAUUGACAAGGUAAGGAGGAAACUGGAGCACCAGAAGGAAACCCACGCAGAC